UCACAAAAUCCCGCUCAAACUAAAACCCUAAACCAAAACACACGUAGAUGGCUUCCUUCUCCUACAAUCUUCUUUCCUUAUGGCAAGAUAGGUAACCUUUAUUUGCUUCUUUUACUCUUCAUCUCUUUCGUUGUUACUCUUCCAUUUUGAUUCUCCUGUAUGAUUGAAGGGUGUUACAAUCUAUACCCCUAACUCUUUGCCGUCUUCAACGUUAUCGAUUUCACCGGUACACAUUCAUUAUUGAUUUAUCAAACAUUUGCCUCAUCUUGACUGUCGUAUGACAAACCCUACCAUUGUCAUUAUCAUAUUUGGCGAUUUCAUCCACGUUUGACUUGGCUGUUGCUCGCGAUCUAACACCGUCGGAAUCAACUGAUAGCUAUAACCAAUGGCGGAGCACGGUGGUUUUCUAAUUCAUGGAUCUUAAGAUAUGUCUAUGAAUCAGUUGGUUGGAUGAUUCUCAUGGAGUGAAAUGGCUGAAUAAAUAGUUAAGCAAACUUUGGCCAUAUGUUGAAGAAGCUGCUCGUAUUAUAACUAAGGAAUCCGUUGAGCCACUAUUGGAAGAUUAUCGCCCAACUGGAAUUACAUCAUUGAAGUUUAAUAAACUCUCUCUUCGGACUGUACCCCACAACUGUUCGAACACAAUGGGUCCCUGUUUCUUCAAGAUUCAUGGUUUCAAGCGGGUUUUGUUCUUACAACGGGGAUCAACAGCGCCUAUGUUCUGGGAUAUUCAGGCGCAAUCAUGGUUCCGCUCAGUUGGGCAGGUGGAGUAGUGGGUUUAAUCUUAGCCACAAUAAUAUCACUCAAUGCAAAUGUUCUUAUUACAAUGCUUCAUGAGUUUGGUGGCAAAAGGCAUAUCAGAUACAGAGAAAGAAUCAUAGGAUUCAUAUACGACCCGAAAGCUUAUUCUCUUACGUGGGUGUUGAAAUAUGUAAACCUUCUCAUGAUCAAUGUCAAUUAUGUUAUAUUGGCUGGUCAGGCUCUCAAGGUACCGUCAAUAAGCCCAAACUGUUUAAGAUGUGACAUUAUCGACCCAUUUACUUAUGAAUGGGUCAAUUUGGAUUGUGUUUUUUAUUCCAAACCGGUAGCUAAAAUGGCAAAGGGAUCGAACAGGUUGGAGGUGGCACAAAGUCUGUAUUACUUGCAUACAACUACCUUAAUUGUUUUUAAAAAAAUAGUUUAUUCAUUGCAAUAGUAUUUUUAAUUAUAAUUAACGUAUUAAUUAUUUGUAGUACUUUUUUUAGAAAUGACUAAAAGUGCUAAAGUGCGAUGACAUGUAUUUUUAGAAAUGACUAAAAUGACUUGGAUUAGUCAAUAAUUUUUAGGUAUCAAACUGUUAAACGGGUCAAAAUGGGUAAAUGGGUAAAUGGUCAAAUGGGUCAAGUAUGUUAAACAAUGUUUUAAUUGAGUUUAUGGCUAAUGUAGUUGGACAUUCUGUUGGCUGAAAAACAUUUGAUGAAAGUAUGUAGAAGUACGUCGACAUUAUGCCUGCCUUAAGCUAAAGUUAGUUAAUUCUGAAACUGAAUUAUGUAUACCAGCUAUGUAUUUUGUAGACCACUUUAACAAGGCUGUAUAGGUAGCGAUGAGCUCUGUACCAACGGGUACAAAAAUUCCUAAAAAGGGUAUCGAUACCCAAAAUACCUGGUUCGGUAUGGUUCGAUACCGGCAUGGACCGGUAUUCAGCAUCACUUUAACAACGCCGGAGCCACGGUGGCUUGAGGCAGAGCUAUGACAGUGGUGAUGAUGAACAAUAUGGUGGUUAGAUUCUGUUUCCUUCACCUCCCUCGACCCUUUGAAUUGAAGUUGUUUCAGAUCGUCGUGAAGGAAAUUCCGUUAGAUACAAGGUGACAAUUAACGGGUCUACUCGAGUAGUCAACAAAUCAUUGACAUCUGCGAUAGAAGUAUCAAUUAUAUAUGCGCCGAGAAUUGGUCAGUGAUAAUUUUUAAACAUGAAGGUAUUCAUGGAUGCCCUUAACGCCUCGAAUCAAUUGACGAAGUUGGAGGACUCAGUGGAUGUGACAAUUAACAUCGAUUACGAGUUCUCUGCACAUCGAUUUUAUCGAAGGAAAGACUGAUUUUGGUGAUCCCUUUGAUGUUCCAGCGAAAUGUUGGCUUCUUGCAAACUCUUCCUUUGUCAAGAUAGUCCACUGUUUUCGAUAUCGAUUUUUACUUUCAAAUAUCGGUCCGUACCGGUACUGGUACCUACCGUACUGUAACUGGUAUUUUUGCUACCGGUAUCGGCACCAAAUUUUGGGAAUUUCGUUACCAGUGUUUUCGGUACCGAGCUCAUCCCUAUAAUGGAUUGAUUUGUCAGGUAAUAUUCGUGUCUAUAUCUUUCCCCACAUAAGUUUGUUUUUCUUUUAAAUUGCUAUUAUGCUUAUUUAAAUAAAUGGUUCCACUUAAUCAUCAUUAUGUUUAAAAGAUCUUAAUAAGCUUAGGUUGGCCUAGGGAUGAGCUCGGUACCAACCGGUACCAGAAAUCCACAAAAGUGGUACCGGUACCGAAUAUACCCGGUACGUUUGGUACCGGUCUUUGAGGGUAAAUACCGGUACCGAAAAUGUCAAAAGUCGGUACCGAAUUGGUAUUGAAAAUGUACCCGAUUUGAUAAAUUCGGUACCGGUACCCGGUACCCUUUCCUCAUCCCUAUAUUGGCAAUCUCCAUUUGUUUAGCACUUCUUAUGGUGGUGGAUAGUUAUUGAAGUUAAAUAAUGUUCUAAUUAUGUUCUAUUCCAUUUUGCAACUUUCACCUCCUUUUGGCUACUUCUAUAGCUUUGUACAGGUAAUAUUCAUUGUAUCAUGUUGCAACCUUGAAGAUCCUUCGUAACACAGAGAUAUCUUUCUAAACAUAUGUUUGAUUGUUUCUUUUGUUAGUCAAAUUAGUUUGACAAGAGGAAGCAAUUUGGGGAUGGUGGGUCAAAAGCUUAACAUGAGAUAUCCAACUAUAGGCUUUUCUGUAAUUUUUUUAAAGAAAAAUGAAACGUCGAUAUUUAGUAAGAGCUUAUUGUAUAUAAUGUUAGUAAUUAUUAGUUUAUAAAUAUGUAUAAGAGCUUAUUGUAUAUAAUGUGGUUGGCGAUAGCUAAAGAUGAAAGAGACUAUUAAAGGUAAAUAUAUUAGCUUUGUUCGAGCAAUUUAGGAAAAUGUGGUGCCUAAAAAAAUCUUUAACGACUUGUGAUUUUUUCUUAUUCAUUUCUUUCAAUUCAUUGUUCCUUAAUUUUAAGGAAUAGAACGUUUUUCUUUUUUUUCAUUUAAAAGUUUAUUGAACACUGCUAAGUAAAUGGCAAAUUCAAAUUUAAAUUUGAAGAUAAUGAAUAUGGGGUUUGGAUGUUAAUUUCUCCUCCGUUCAUUAAUUACAUGUUUGUGGUAGGCUGAAGGUGUUGUUUCAUCCAGCAUUCAACCUCUUUAGAAUACAAAUAUAUUUGUGAGUAGAAACUCUGAUUACUGUGUUUGCUUUCUCAUCAUGCCAUUACAUUCUCAUAUUCAGUUUUGAUUAAUUAACCAUGCUUAAAUGUAUGAGAACUAUAUUGGAGAAGUUCUUAGUGCUGAAGAGAAGAUUCUUGGGGCUCAAUAUGAUAUCAGCCCGCUAACACUCCCCUCAAACUUCCUGAUUACUUUAACAUUGGAGGCGUUUUUCAUGUUGGAAGCAUAUCUGAUAGACCAACUGGUGGCGGUCUUUAUGAAGAUACGUCGGUUAGACUAGAAGGUAUGGUUUG